UAAGCCCAAAUCAUAAAAUUUUAAGUCCAAUUGAUAUAAACUCCUCCCGUCCGUUCAAUUAUAUUCUCGAUCUUUACCUCUAAGCAGAAAUCGCUGUCGCUUUCGCUUCUGUUGCACUUUUCUUUGCGGUCGUUUUCUGAUACUCCCUCUCGAAGUUUCUCCAAUGUCCUACCGAUCUCCAAUUCUCCGGUUUACUUCUCGAGGGCGAUCACUUUGGUUUCACCGAUGACUACGUCCGUCGCUUUGGUUCAGCCGUAGCAGCAUCAGACUGAGAAUCUAACGGUGGUUGAUGAUGAGAAUCGUGGAGGCUUAUAGGAGAAACUUUCUAUUCACGUACGAGCUUAUUUCUUCUCCACUAGUGUUGAUUUGAGAAGCUUAAUUGAGCAGAACUUCAUCCCACCCACCUCGCAUAUGACUAACUAUGUUGUUCUUGAGAUUGGUAAUCAUUCUGAUCACAAUACGGAGGAUAUGGUGAACAGCAACGGAAUACUAACAGAUCAAUUGGUUGAUGAAGAACCAUCUUUUCACAAAUAUCUCGAAAGCAAAGAGUUUGCUGACAAGUAUCGAAGGUACGAAGAUGGGUUUAAGUAGUUUCUUGUGGAGAAGUACGUCUCUGGAGAUGAUAUGUAUGAGGAGAUAACAACAGUCGAUGGUGCAACCAUUUAUUGAUCGUCUUAUUUAAUGUACGGGAACCCGAGGUUGAUGAGUAUCUUAAAGUGGUGGAGAGGCAUGCUUCUGGUUUGCUUCCUGAAAUUAAAAAAGAUGAGUAUGAAGUAAGAGAGGAUCCAAAUCUAAACAAAUGGAUGGAGGGAGGACUGGAUGUUAUCAUGUUGCAGUUCUUGAAUAUUGAUGGGAUCAGAACCAUAGGCAGUGUUAUGGGGCUGAGCAUUGCUCUCGAUUACUAUGGCGGGCAGGAACAUUUACAAUGACUAGGAAAAAGCUGUUCCAGUUCGUUGGAAGGUCUACUUCUUAUCUGGCUGAUGUGAUUCUGAAGCUUGGUCUGUUUGAGAGGUAAAGAAGUCGAGAGAGGGAAGAAGAAUGGAUGCCCUGUCUUAGACAAAGCAUCCGCAACAAGGAUCUUUUUUAAGGCGCGGAGAACAAAGGCGUCUUUCAAUAUUCACAAGCAGGCACAAAAAUGGGAAGAAGAAAGAUGCCAAUGAGAAAUCGAACAAAGAAAAGUUCAAAUGUGUGUCAUUUCCGCCAGGGGCAGAUGCUAUUCUACAUGACUUAUUUACUCACUAUCCACCUUGUGACAGAGACACUGCUGCCACAUCAUUUAACAAGUACUCCGAGCACUCGGGUAAACAAGGACAAUGGAAAGAUGAUUUUUUCGGGAAACCAAAGAUUAGCAGUGAAGAGAUUCUAAAAAAGGUGGCGUCUUUGAGUUCUAGACUUAAGAAGGACAAAGCUCUUAAGGAGAAUACAGACUGAGAAGUUAUAAAUCAUGCCAAGUAGCAGCAAGUGAAAGGAAAUUGUUUUUGUUGAUUUAUGUUACAGAUCGCGAAGCUGCGGUCAAAGCUUCCCAUCACUUCCUUUAGAGACGCAAUUUGAAGGUUCUUUUUUUUUACACCAGAUGUUGGACAUGUAAAUUUAUGUUACGAAGCUAAUUAUUUUCCUUA